UAUAUAUCUUUUUAAAAUUAAAUUUAAAAAAGUUAAAAUAAAUAAACAAGUUAACACAAAAACAAAAAUAAAGGAAAAGAAUGAGUCGAUAUAGCAUUGAGACACGCGCGCGAAAAAUAGUAUAUAUAAUUUGAUAACUUUCCUGGGGGUAGUGGUCUGGUCCAAUGCAACCCGAAACGUGAAUCGUCAUAAAUUGUACAGUAACGGAAUAAGGAAAAAGUACGCUGUGAGAUAGUUUUGAAAGUGGUUCUCUAUCGCCAUUAGUUGGUUGUAGGUUGAACCGGCUAUACAAGAGAAACGAAAGCAGGUACCAUGUAUUGAGACCGACCAUGACUGCUUCAUAAAGAGGAGAAGAAAGAAGUUUUGUAGCCACCACGUUCUUGAAAUACUUACUUGCCUUAUGAUUUGAUUAUUUGCAUAAUUACUAAUUUACAACAACACAAUUAUCGAUAAGAUACAAUCGUUCCUCUCAAUACUAUAUCGGGGUAAGAGGUGGGACUCAUCAUCAUCAUCAUCAUCAUUUAUUUUCUUCCAUCGCACUCAUCAGGGUGUUUGCUCUUUUCCAUCCAAGCCAAAGAGCGACUUCAGUGUGCUCUGAACCGUGGAUGUGAGAGUGUGUGUUUGUGUGCUGCGUGAACUAUUUUUCCUGCGUGAAACACUUUCCAUACUGCGCCAUCCGCGGUGUUCUUUCUGCUUCAUCGGAGGACGAAUUUUGGGUAAGUGUCCUUUUCUAAGUGUCUAGUGCUAUGUGACAUUUAUUCUAAUUCUAAUAUUAUUCUAAUAUGCAAUGUUUUGCACAUUACAAGUUUCAGAUGUGUGCUGCUACCGCUAGUUGUUCCUCAAACUACUUAAAAAGUGUGACACUGUGUGCACAGGCGUUCAAGUUUCAAUUGAUCCUCAAGCACAAAGCCUUCAUACAACACCGCGGUUGAGGCGCGCCAAAUCUGAUGACAUCUUUCCUGAACCAAGCAGGCUGAACACGCGCACCACCACGGGCUCCAGCGCGGUGUGAAGAGGGAAGAAGAAAAGGCAGAAUUGGAAACAGCCGCACCAGGCUUCCAACCACCGUGUGUGUGUGUGUGUAUUUAAGUAUGUGAGAACACAUGUGUGAAUCCUCUUGUGGGAACUGCAAAAAGAAGAGAAUAAAGAGUGUGAAGCAGCUAGACUGCCGCAACCAAA